rnacentral:rRNA from 1 species
UACGGGGGGUGCGAGCGUUGUCCGGAAUCACUGGGCGUAAAGGGCGCGUAGGUGGUUUGAUAAGGGUGUGGUGAAAGUCCGGGGCUCAACCCCGGAUCUGCCGUGCAGACUGUCAAACUCGAGGACUGUAGAGGCAGACGGAAUUCCGGGUGUAGCGGUGGAAUGCGUAGAGAUCCGGAGGAAGACCGGUGGCGAAGGCGGUCUGCUGGGCAGUUUCUGACACUGAGGCGCGAAAGCGUGGGGAGCAAACAGG